GCCUGUGACCAUGCCAGAUUGAAUGUACCUGAUUGUGUGAGCUCAGAAGCUAAGCAAUCCCUGGGUCUGGCUGGUAUUUGAAUGGGAGACCACCUUGGGAAUCUUGGGUGCUGUUGGCA
ensembl:rRNA 5S_rRNA 5S ribosomal RNA